rnacentral:sRNA from 1 species
CGUUAUCCGUAUAUUCCUAAAGUAAACCUCAGUCAUUAACGGGUUAACGGCUUUUUUCAGAUUAAACUCAGCACAGGAAUUUGAGCUAAAUAACAGACAUCAGGAAUUAUCUGAUAAAAAAAUGCCGGCAUAUCGCCGGCACAUUUU